CCGCAGAUCUGUUAAUCUUUCAUCAUCCUCAUCUGCGACUCACGGUACAACUGUCACUCCGGCUAUCAUCCUCGUCAUUCAUCGAUCUGAUACCGUACAUCUGAAAUCAUCUCACCAAUCUAAUUUUGAGGAGAUCUGCCACUCGAAGAAAUCCUUUCACCGAUCUGAUUUUGGCGACACCGAUCUUCAUUUCCUUUAAGGAGUCUGAGUGGAAUGCAGCUCAAAGUAUCGAAAUAAGUGAAGAUCUUGUGGCUGCUGCUAAGCUUCAGCUGAAUUUUCUUGCUGCUGUAGACAGAAACUGUUGGCUUUAUGAAGACCAAACCUUGCAACGGGCCAUCUACAGGUACAAUUCUUGCUGGCUUUCUUUGCUUGCUAAACACUCUGACUCUCGGAUCACAAACGGGCCUUUGGUUGUUCCUCUUGACUGUGAAUGGGUUUGGCAUUGUCACAGGCUCAAUCCGUAAGAUACAAAUCUGACGGCGAAGAAUUCUAUGAAGAAUUCUUGUCAACUGUAAUGUUUCUUCCUCUGUUGAAAAUAUCUCAAGAAAAGAA